UGUGUAAUACAUGAUUGCUCUGGUGAUGCGGUAGAUCUCAGACCUGCAGACAGACACAGAGGCCUGUUUGGAUCUCUGGUCUCUGAAUGAGACAAACAGUUUAGCAGGAGAAGA